CCUUGCACCUGUCUUGGUGUGACAAACUUCAGGCCAUAAAUUGAUAGCCCGGGCCGCUGCUGCUCUGCUUGCUUCUUGCCAUAUAUAACUGGGGAGCCGGUUGUGUGUUGGGUGGCCCAGCUGCCCCGCCAGCAAAUCCCACUGGUGUUUCCAAGCGGCCCUGGCUGCUGCUAAUAACCUCUCCUAGCGAAAGCUGCCACAUCACUCUUGUCCUUUGGAUACUGUUUUUAGUUCGGUCGGAAGGAGGCUUGCUGGCUUUUUCCAAAACCGAUCCUAUCUUUACCACCCCUACCUAGCAACAGUGUCGGGGAUCUCAGAGCUCAGGCCCGGCGCUGGCUGGACGUGCGCGCUGCCCGCGGGCCUCGGCCUUCUCACCUGCACGUCCCAGCUCCGGUAACUUCGGCGUCGAGGCUCCUGCGAGGCUGCUCGGUGGUGCUGAAGAGUGGCUGAGUGGAAUUUAAUAUUUCAGUGGACGAGAAUUUUAUACGAGGAAUAAGCGAGCCAAGUCAAAAUAUAGAGAGCAGGCAUAGGGUAACAGUGCCCUGAGAUGUCAGAUGUGAUAAAAUGAUUCUAUGAAGCCUGGAAUCUGGAGGCAGAGAAAGGCAGAUCUCAGUUGUGGGAGCAGCUGCCACAGGGAUGCACUGAGAAUGGAGAAUAUCCAGUUUCCCCAGGAGGGAAAUGGUGCGGCACUAAACGUGAUUUGAGAGUCCCUUGAAAUCUGUGUUUAGGAUCGUCAUGCUCCUAGCACUCCUAAAACAGUACCUAAAAAUGUGAGUGCAAAUAAAGGUCAAAUUUGUCUUCA
rnacentral:lncRNA from 1 species